rnacentral:lncRNA from 1 species
GCCCUUCCUCUUUUUCUUUAUUUCUCUUCUCUUUUGUUUUCUCUUUUUUAUUUUAUUUUGAAAACCGCAUCUACCACCUUCGUUUAAAAUCCUUUUUGCCUCCAAUUUUUCCUCUCUCUUGGUCGAAUUAUCUUGAUCGCUUGGUUCCGAUUUAGUUCCCAAUUGCGAUAAGUUGGUAAGUGAGAUUUCUUUUAUUGGUUAG